rnacentral:lncRNA from 1 species
UAGAGUUCCAAGCCAGUGGUUCUUAUUCUGCAAGGUGUCAUGGAAGUGGGACCUACAGACUGUUGCUGCUCAGCCCUCUGGAUUCAGCCCCUUUCUUACAGGUCCCAUGGUGGAUGGUGCUGGUAGCAGAACCAAGGCCAAAUUGGGCUGUAAGCAAGUCCACAGGGGGAUGGCGCUGUUUCUGCAUCUGUAGCUGGGGUCAUGGUCAAUGAGUGUACCACCUGGGCAUAGACCUGCAUUCUCAAAAUGGCCCUCCUCAGUAUUACAGCCUCCUACUUGGACCCCAAAGCUCCCAUAAAGAUCUACCCUUCUCUCUUCGAUGCCCUGUUCUGGGACUGCAGAGGCUGACUCAUGGAUUUCACUGAUGAGCUGUCUUGCUAUUCAGGUUCCAGGUGGAUUUGGCUGAUGGAAGGAGAGGGAAUCAAGCUCCUGAGUCUUCAGUCUUCCCUUAAGGAGGAGAAAGAAGAGACCAGGAAUGGCCAUGAUGGUGAUGUCAAUGUGGGGUGCUGCUGGGUAAAAAUAUAUAAGAGAAAGUUGGGGGUCUUUGUCCGGAGACCUUCAAUCUGGGCUCCCAGAAGACGGCUUGAAUAAAGACAGCCCAGACGUCUUCAAAGAGCUCAUCCUGCUCCUUCCUGCUCAAGAGGCUGACAAAGACAGUGCUUGAUGAAGGCCAUC